CGAUGGAUAACUGCAAUGAAAAUGAGCCUGAGAUAUAUUAAAAGGCCGCCCCUGUAAACAUUUCCUCAAAGGGAACAGUAGCAGUUGAGUGAAAAAGUCCAUGUCGUCUCUUUGCUCUGGGAUCUCAAAUUAUAUCUGCACAGACGGGGGAAGCUGGGUAUAACGUUGAAAGCACUGCUAACAGAGAAAUGAUAAACAUGGAAGCAUACCAAAAAAGAAAAGGAAAGGCGUGUAACAGCAAAGUGCAACAGAAAAAGACUGCACUGAGAGUUGUGAAGGAGGGAAAAGGACACAAGGUGAGACAGAAAGGAGGACAGUGGUACGAGAGGCAGAUCUGGAAGGGAAAGUGACUGUGAACAAGAUGACGACGAUGGGGUGGAGGAGACUGGAAGGGGUGAACUGGAGAGAAACUUCAAAGGGAGAGAUGCCGGGGCAUGAUCACAGAAAUGCUGGAGGAGAAGCAAGGCAUGGGAGUAAAGACUAUUCCAAAUUCUGAUGAUGAGUGAAGAUGGUACUACUGUAUUAAUAAUAAAAGAACUGGAAAUAUCUGGAA